GGAGCUUUACUCAAGUUGGAUGAAGAGAUCAGUCCUGAAAACUGACAGGCCGCUAACAACGGCGCGUGGGUUCGAAUCCCACAGGCUCCG
rnacentral:tRNA from 2 species